rnacentral:rRNA from 1 species
GUCAUAUCYYGCACAGCAGAACAACCCGAGAACCGGUUAACAACCACUUUGGAGACUGGGGCACGUCCUCUGCGCUCCCAAAUCCMGUCUCCGUGGGCAGCCCCCCCAUGGGGGGUCCAUGGAUUCGGGCAAUAACGAAACCCGGCACGGAAUGUGCCAAGGAAAUCGAAUAAGAGAAGCGCUGUCCCCCAGCCCCCGUUCGCGGGGUGUCUCGGGAUCACGCGCCAUCUUUUCUAUCAAUAUCAAAACGACUCUCGGCAACGGAUAUCUCGGCUCUCGCAUCGAUGAAGAACGUAGCGAAAUGCGAUACUUGGUGUGAAUUGCAGAAUCCCGUGAACCAUCGAGUCUUUGAACGCAAGUUGCGCCCUAAGCCAUUUGGCCGAGGGCACGUCUGCCUGGGCGUCAAUCAUCUAUUCGUCACCCAACCUCUUCUCCCCCAAAAGGAGCUCGGGUCCUGGGUACGGAAGUUGACCUCCCGUGCUCUUGAAGCGCGGCUGGUCUAAAAUCGAGCAUCGGACUGAUGAUCUCCGAGGCACGCGGUGGUUGUUAAUUCUUACCUCGUGAUGUUGCCACGGAGCCUCUUCCAUACGGAGCUCCACGACCCUAGAUUCAUAACGAU